rnacentral:rRNA from 1 species
GGGAGGAUCAUUACCUAGAGUUGUAGGCUUUGCCUGCUAUCUCUUACCCAUGUCUUUUGAGUACCUUACGUUUCCUCGGUGGGUUCGCCCACCGAUUGGACAAACUUAAACCCUUUGCAGUUGAAAUCAGCGUCUGAAAAAACUUAAUAGUUACAACUUUCAACAACGGAUCUCUUGGUUCUGGCAUCGAUGAAGAACGCAGCGAAAUGCGAUAAGUAGUGUGAAUUGCAGAAUUCAGUGAAUCAUCGAAUCUUUGAACGCACAUUGCGCCCCUUGGUAUUCCAUGGGGCAUGCCUGUUCGAGCGUCAUUUGUACCUUCAAGCUCUGCUUGGUGUUGGGUGUUUGUCUCCUGUAGACUCGCCUUAAAACAAUUGGCAGCCGGCGUAUUGAUUUCGGAGCGCAGUACAUCUCGCGCUUUGCACUCAUAACGACGACAUCCAAAAGUACAUUUUUACACUCUUGACCUCGGAUCAGGUAGGGAUACCCGCUGAACUUAAGCAUAUCAAUAAGCGGAGGA